rnacentral:rRNA from 1 species
CCUACGGGUGGCAGCAGUCGAGAAUCAUUCACAAUGGGGGAAACCCUGAUGGUGCGACGCCGCGUGGGGGAAUGAAGGUCUUCGGAUUGUAAACCCCUGUCAUGUGGGAGCAAAUGAAAAAGAUAGUACCACAAGAGGAAGAGACGGCUAACUCUGUGCCAGCAGCCGCGGUAAUACAGAGGUCUCAAGCGUUGUUCGGAAUCACUGGGCGUAAGGCGUGCGUAGGCUGUUUCGUAAGUCGUGUGUGAAAGGCGCGGGCUCAACCCGCGGACGGCACAUGAUACUGCGAGACUAGAGUAAUGGAGGGGGAACCGGAAUUCUCGGUGUAGCAGUGAAAUGCGUAGAUAUCGAGAGGAACACUCGUGGCGAAGGCGGGUUCCUGGACAUUAACUGACGCUGAGGCACGAAGGCCAGGGGAGCGAAAGGGAUUAGAUACCCCAGUAGUC